rnacentral:lncRNA from 1 species
GGGGGGGGCAGGUAGCCUAGUGGUUAGAGUGGGGGGGGGGCAGGUAGCCUAGUGGUUAGAGUGGGGGGGGGCCAGGUAGCCUAGUGGUUAGAGUGGGGGGGCAAGUAGCCUAGUGGUUGGACCAUUGGACUAGUAACUGAAAGGUUGCAAGAUCGAAUCCCCGAGCUGACAAGGUAAAAAUCUGUCGUUCUGCCCCUGAACAAGGCAGUUAACCCACUGUUCCCCGGUAGGCCGUCACUGAACAUUUCUUAACUGACUUGCCUAGUUAAAUAAAGGUCAGAUAAACACAGACAGCAGACCUGUGGUUUCCACAAGGUGGGUCGGUCAGAAACAUUGAUCAGUGUAAAGUUCCAGGGACCAUCAGACUGAUCAGCAUGUGAGAGAUAUUACUACAUCUCUCACUUCAUCAGAGUGCUCUUGUUCUGAUUCUCUACUCUUUCUCUAGAAAGGUACACUCGUUCACUACCCCUCAUGCAUUUCAAAGUAUAGGAUUGGUGGUUUGAGCCCUGAAUGCUGAUUGGCCUCAUUGCUUAACUAAGACCUCAUGACUGGAGGGAGUUUCCACCAAUACAGUCCAUUCCUUUUAGAUCCCUGAGGGGGCAGUGUCCAACCAGGCAGGGGCGAAAAUCUGAUAUCAACUUUGGAGGGGACAAUUACAUGACAUUUUCUCAAGAGCAAUUCCUGGGGGGGACACCAAAAGUAGUGCUGUAACACAUAGCCUACAUUGUAAUAUGGUAAAUGUAUAUUGAGGAACCAAAGAAAUAAGGUGUUUGCCGUACUCCUAACUACCGGUACCCAAAACUACACAACUAACCACAACAGCAAUACCAUUGCCUUUAACAAAUCUUAGUUCAGUCACCAGUUUAAGUUGAGAGUGGGGGUAUCCAUGGCAUUUUCCAAUUAUGUUCCUAUUUUACAAGUCAAAAAAAUUGAGAACCUUUCAUAAUGUUGCCAAACAAAGACUCAACAAACUUACCUGAGACUCCCUGUCUCUGCCAGUCUGUCCCUGCAUAUCUGUCCCCAACUCUGCUGUCUGUGUGCCAUCUGUUGCCUGCUCUGCCUAAUGACAUCAUUGUGAAACAUUUCCAUUACAAUUUAAUUUCUUUCUUAUGAACAUUUUAUCAACUAGUCUUUGAGAUAUUAGGCUACUAGGUUUUUACUAUGCGUUUUGGUGUAUUGAAAAAUACUCUGAUGUCCGUCUUUUAUUUUUCUGCCAUUUUUCUACCUGGCUGGCUGGCUGGCUACACACACAGUGUGUAGGUUAUUUACAGUAGGAGAUGGGCCUCUAUCAUCUUCAAUCAUUCUAUUUGGGCUUCAAUCUAAAAGGUAGCUAGCAAAUGUGAAACGGAUUAAAAUGACAAGAGUUGACAGCUGUAUGAGUUCACCAUUUACACAACAUAUGCUGCAACCUUUUGUAAUUUUAAUAGUUUGUUUCAUAUUGGCUGGCUUCCAACAAUAGCUGAAUUUGCAAAGCUAGCGAGCACCAAUUCAGUUUCAGUGGUGUUUGCUAUAAUCUUUGCUACCCGGGUUAAAUAAAGGUGAAAUAAAAUAAAUAAAUAAAAGUUCCCUUGCGACAAUUUAGCUUUUGCAACGAGACCAUUAAAUAUAUUUAAGACAAUGGUAGAAGAGAGUGUAGUUCUGUUCAGUUUGGAUUUCAGUUUAUCGCUAACCUUAUCACAGGGACUUUGAAGCACUAACUUACAUCAUCUGCAUGCUGAUCUUGGAAUAAAUUGACGAUAGCAAAGAUUCCAUCUUUGACGACGCCACAUAAAUGGAAUAGGUACUAGCUAGCUUAAUAGUUAAUAUUUGCGCGCUAGCUCUGCAUAUUCAGCUAGUGUGUGUGCGCGAUUGACUGGAUUAACCUCACGUCAGUUACGUUCAUUGAGUGCCUUUCAGACAGUAGAUACGACCCCUCUGUUACCUUGCCAACUAAGGAACUGGCAGUGGAUCAAACCAUUGUGAGGCAAAGGAUGGGGGGAUCGCAAUCUUUUGAAACUUAAAAACGCGCUAUUAAGUGUCUAUAAUCAGCACAAUUGCUUUCAUUGCGUAUUAUUAAUAUUAUUUAAAUUACAUAGUUAUGUUUCAGUGAUAUCAUAUUUUUCCCAGGAUGGGGGGGUCGUGUGUCCCCCGUCCCCCCCGGGAUUGCCGCCCCUGCAACCAGGAGAAGGGGAGGGAAUCACAACUUAGCCACUUUCCUCACUCGCGCUCUCCCUCCUCGCUCUCUCCCUGCUCGCUCUCUCUCCUCGCUCGCUCUCUCCUCGCUCUCUCUCUCCCCGCUCUCUCUCUCCUCGCUCUCUCUUUUCUCGCUCUCUCCCUGCUCGCUCUCUCCCUGCUCGCUCUCUCUCCUCGCUCGCUCUCUCUCCUCGCUCUCUCUCUCCUCGCUCUCUCUCCUCGCUCGCUCUCUCUCCUCCCUCUCUCUCCCCUCCCCCUCUCUCCUCGCUCACUCUCCCUCGCUCACUCUCCCUCUCUCUCCUCGCUCGCUCUCUCCUCGCUUGUUCUCUCCUCGCUCGCUCUCUCCUCGCUCGCUCUCUCCUCGUUGGCUCGCUCUCUCCUCGUUGGCUCGCUCUCUCUCCUCGUUGGCUCGCUCUCUCUCCUCGUUGGCUCGCUCUCUCCCUCCUCCCUCUCUCUCCCCUCCCUCUCUCCUCGCUCGCUCUCUCCUCGCUCGCUCUCUCCUCGCUCUCCUCGCUCUCUCUCUCUCCUCGCUCUCUCCGCUCUCCUCGCUCUCUCCGCUCUCCUCGCUCGCUCUCUCUCCUCGUUGGCUCGCUCUCUCUCCUCGUUGGCUCGCUCUCUCUCGCUCUCUCUCCUCGUUGGCUCGCUCUCUCCUCUCUUUCCUCUCUCUCGCUCGCUCUCUCCUCGCUCGCUCUCUCCUCCCUCUCUCUCCCCUCCCUCUCUCCUCGCUCGCUCUCUCCUCGCUCUCUCCUCGCUCUCGCCUCGCUCUCGCCUCGCUCUCUCUCGCUCUCUCUCUCUCCUCGCUCUCUCUCUCUCCUCGCUCUCUCCGCUCUCCUCGUUGGCUCGCUCUCUCCUCGCUGGCUCGCUCUCUCUCCUCGCUGGCUCGCUCUCUCUCCUCGUUGGCUCGCUCUCUCUCGCUCUCUCUCCUUGUUGGCUCGCUCUCUCCUCUCUCUCGCUCGCUCUCUCCUCGCUCGCUCUCUCCUCGCUCCCUCUCUCCUCGCUCUCUCCCUCUCUCUCCUCGCUCUCGCCUCGCUCUCUCCGCUCUCUCUCUCUCCUCGUUGGCUCGCUCUCUCCUCGCUCGCUCUCUCUCCUCGUUGGCUCGCUCUCUCUCCUCGUUGGCUCGCUCUCUCCUCUCUCUCUUCCUCUCUCUCCCUCGCUCUCUCCUCGCUCUCUCCUCGCUCUCUCUCUACCUCACUCGCUCUCUCCUCCCUCGCUCUCUCCUUGCUCUCUCUCUCUCCUCCCUCUCUCUCCUCGCUCACUCUCCCUCUCUCACUCUCCUCGCUCUCUCUC